rnacentral:rRNA from 1 species
UACGUAGGUGGCAAGCGUUGUCCGGAAUUAUUGGGCGUAAAGCGCGCGCAGGCGGUCCUUUAAGUCUGAUGUGAAAGCCCACGGCUCAACCGUGGAGGGUCAUUGGAAACUGGGGACUUGAGUACAGAAGAGGAGAGUGGAAUUCCACGUGUAGCGGUGAAAUGCGUAGAGAUGUGGAGGAACACCAGGUGGCGAAGGCG